rnacentral:tRNA from 1 species
GGUGAUUCAGUGGUAGAAUGCUUGGCUCUAAUCCAUGAGGUCCUGGGUUUGAUUCCUCAGCACCA